CAAUAGCGUAUAUUAAAGUUGUUGCGGUUAAAAAGCUCGUAGUUGGAUUUCUGCUGAGGACGACCGGUCCGCCCUCUGGGUGAGUAUCUGGCUCGGCCUUGGCAUCUUCUUGGGGAACGUAACUGCACUUGACUGUGUGGUGCGGUAUCCAGGACUUUUACUUUGAGGAAAUUAGAGUGUUUCAAGCAGGCGCACGCCUUGAAUACAUUAGCAUGGAAUAAUAAGAUAGGACCUUGGUUCUAUUUUGUUGGUUUCUAGAGCUGAGGUAAUGAUUAAUAGGGAUAGUUGGGGGCAUUCGUAUUUAACUGUCAGAGGUGAAAUUCUUGGACUUGUUAAAGACGGACUACUGCGAAAGCAUUUGCCAAGGAUGUUUUCAUUGA
rnacentral:rRNA from 1 species